ACUUCAGCCAGCGCGCCGCGGUGCAGCUUCAGUCGGCACGAGGAGCCUCUGGCUCCUGGUCGCCCUCGAAAGAAACCCAUCCAAAAUAGCCCAACAACACAUGACGAAGCCCGAACCAUGCGCUAACUAACCCUUGACGAAUUUCUUUGCGACUUGCCCUCACCAUCGGAACCAUGGAUACCGACAACACUACUACGAAAGAUCCGGAGCGCGUUUCAAGAUAUUAACACAAUGAUUAACCCCGAACAAUUUCAGCAAAUUCACCGCGACAACAGUAUCUCUUUGACCUGGAGAAACGGUUGUCCCCUGUGACCACGGCAAUCCCUUGAUCAAGGAUUUCUCCUAAAAUUGUUCGGCUGUCGACAACUUGUGUUAACAAUAAUAUUUUAGCAACAAUUUUUUGUGUCAAAGUCGUUGCUAAAAUAAUUUCCUGAAAAGCACUCUACAAGAAUUCCAUGAUUUCGAUCUUUCGGUUUGACGGAUUAACCGUUUCCUUUGUGGAGCUUAUAACGUAAUUUUGUAUAUAUAUAAGGAAAGUUAACUAUUAAGGCGAGGGUUCCACAAAGAGACCGAUUAAGUUUCCGUGCAUAGUAGUUCGUGAUACAAGGUACCGACGAGGCUCUAGUGUUUUAGUUGAUAAGAUAAUCUAAAAGAAAAAUAAGAAUGAUUUUUUUUUGAAAUAAAGAAACCCUCUGAUUGUAGACUUGUAAUUAAAAAAAAACAUGGUAACGUUUGUAACAUAGAUUAAGGGUUAAAUUUAGCGAGAGGAUAUUUUCAAUACGAAAAAAUGUGAGUGCAUGAGAAUAUUUAACUACAUAAGCAUGUUAUUUGAUAAGAUAUACAAGUUUUUGCGUACCUUCAUAUACUCAAUAUAAUUCAUAUACGUAAGAGAAAUUAUUAAUUCGGGAUUUAAUUAAUCGUCCGUCUAAAAAAUACCCAGGGAUCAGUGACGAUGAUUCUUGUAGUCCAGUAACGGCCUAGUAUACAGCAAAUAUACGAAAGUUACACUUUUAAGCUAACCGCUUUGCAAAAGCUAGCUUAAACUGCAUACGUACCGUCGGUAAAAAAGAGCUUGGCCAGCCGAAAGUACAACAUUAAAAAGAUUAUUUUAGAUUGUAGUUUCUUUUCCCUUCGCCAGGCGCCUCAAUAUAACCUUUCAAAGGCGGAUUGUUGGUUGACAAGCAGCUUCGGUUUCUUUUUGUUACAAUAAAUCGUUGGUAUAUUACAAUGAGCGAGCAAUAAUUUGGCUAGUGAUACGUUACACACGGAGUAGCGAGAUAGAAUAGGUCCCUCUAUACAAGGGAUUAUCCAUAAUAGUAUAUAGUGGCCUUUCUUUCAAUUACGAUUUACCGCAUGGCUCAAUAUUAUUAUAUCACUCUUUACGGACAUAUUGUAACGAUUUAAUGCUCGAUUGUACAAUGUAUUUAUUCAUUAUACUCUGGAAAUAAAAUGGUUUGAGAAAUUUA